UACAGAGGCCCCAAGCGUUAUCCGGAAUUACUGGGCGUAAAGGAUGUCAAGGCGGUCAUGUUAGUCGUUCGUUAAAUCCGUGGGCUCAACCUACGGCUCGCGAGCGAAACGGCAUGACUAGAGGUUGGAAGAGGUGCGUGGAACUCACGGAGUAGGGGUGAAAUCCGUUGAUAUCGUGGGGAACACCAAAGGCGAAGGCAGCGCACUGGUCCAAAUCUGACGCUCACGCAUGAAAGCUAGGGUAGCGAACGGG
rnacentral:rRNA from 1 species